UACGUAGGGGGGCUAGCGUUGUCCGGAUUUAUUGGGCGUAAAGAGCGUGUAGGCGGCUUGGCAAGUCUGCUGUGAAAAACUCGAGGCUCAACCUCGAGCUGUCGGUGGAAACUGCUUGGCUAGAGUCCGGAAGAGGAGAGUGGAAUUCCUGGUGUAGCGGUGAAAUGCGCAGAUAUCGGGAGGAACACCAGUGGCGAAGGCGGCGAUCUGGGAAGAUACUGACGCUGAGGAGCGAAAGCAUGGGGAGC
rnacentral:rRNA from 1 species